AUUUAACGCUGGCGGCCGGCAUAACACAUGCAAGUCGAACGGAGCGGCGGACGGGUGAGUAAUGCCUAGGAAUCUGACUGGUAGUGGGGGAUAACGUACGGAAACGGGAGCUAAUACCGAAUACUAUCAGAAGAGCCUAGGUCGUAUUAGUUAGUUGGUGGGGUAAAGGCCUACAGAGGCGAAGAUCCGUAACUGGUCUGAGAGGAAGAUCAGUCAAACUGGAACUGAGACACGGACCAGACUCUUAGGGGAGGAAGCAGUGGCGAAUAUCGGCCAAUGGGCGAAAGGCUGAACUAUCCAUGCCGCGGGUGUGAAGAAGGUCUUCGGAUUGUAAAGUUCUGUCGGUAGCGAGGCGUUACCUACAGAAGAAGCACCGGCUAACUACGUGCCAGCAGCCGCGGUAAUUC
rnacentral:rRNA from 1 species